GACGAACGCUGGCGGCGUGCCUAAUACAUGCAAGUAGAACGCACAGUUUAUACCGUAGCUUGCUACACCAUAAACUGUGAGUUGCGAACGGGUGAGUAACGCGUAGGUAACCUGCCUGGUAGCGGGGGAUAACUAUUGGAAACGAUAGCUAAUACCGCAUAAUAUUGAUUAUUGCAUGAUAAUUGAUUGAAAGAUGCUAUUGCAUCACUACCAGAUGGACCUGCGUUGUAUUAGCUAGUAGGUGAGGUAACGGCUCACCUAGGCGACGAUACAUAGCCGACCUGAGAGGGUGGUCGGCCACACUGGGACUGAGACCCGGCCCAGACUCCUACGGGAGGCAGCAGUAGGGAAUCUUCGGCAAUGGACGAAAGUCUGACCGAGCAACGCCGCGGGAGUGAAGAAGGUUUUCGGAUCGUAAAGCUCUGUUGUAAGAGAAGAACGGGUGUGAGAGUGGAAAGUUCACACUGUGACGGUAUCUUACCAGAAAGGGACGGCUAACUACGUG
rnacentral:rRNA from 1 species